UAUUCGCCCGGGAACUACGAGCCCCAGCUUUAACCCCAAAGGAGUUGGCGGUGCUUUAUAUUCUACUUGAGGAGCCUGUUCUAGAAACGAUAACCCCCGUUCAAACUCACCUUUCCUUGUUUUUCCCGCCUAUAUACCGCCGUCGUGAGCCCACCCUAUGAGGGUUUAAAAGUAGGGUUAAUUGGCACAGCCCAGAACGUUAGGGCGAGGUGUAGCGUAUGGAAAGGGAAGAAAUGGGCUACAUUCCCUAUGUUAGGGGCACCAAUGGUGUGCUGAAACGCACAUCUUGAAGGAGGAUUUAGCCAGUAA
rnacentral:rRNA from 1 species